GAUGAACGCUGGCGGCGUGCCUAACACAUGCAAGUCGAGCGAUUCUCUUCGGAGAAGAGCGGCGGACGGGUGAGUAACGCGUGGGUAACCUGCCCUGUACACACGGAUAACAUACCGAAAGGUAUGCUAAUACGAGAUAAUAUGCUUUUAUCGCAUGGUAGAAGUAUCAAAGCUUUUGCGGUACAGGAUGGACCCGCGUCUGAUUAGCUAGUUGGUAAGGUAACGGCUUACCAAGGCGACGAUCAGUAGCCGACCUGAGAGGGUGAUCGGCCACAUUGGAACUGAGACACGGUCCAAACUCCUACGGGAGGCAGCAGUGGGGAAUAUUGCACAAUGGGCGAAAGCCUGAUGCAGCAACGCCGCGUGAGCGAAGAAGGCCUUUGGGUCGUAAAGCUCUGUCGGGUAGGAAGAUAAUGACGGUACUACCCGAGGAAGCCCCGGCUAACUACGUG
rnacentral:rRNA from 1 species